GCUCAUGAGAAAACAAACAGAUACAAUAGCGAGUUCAAAGCAAACAUAGUGAAGAACUAAUUCGAAGCAUAGUGAGGGUAGAAGGGUCAUAUUUAAGAAAACCUGGGACUUAAACAAGUUAAGAAGAGAAAAGCAGUAGUCUAGCCCUUAAAAACAGUAGAGAAAACAUGUGUAAAAAGAACACGAACAAAGGUCCAGUAAAGGAAAACGGAAGACUAAAACUUAGUAGGAAACAUGUGAGAGCAUGAUAUAAAAACUUAGUAGGAGAAAGAACGGAGCUCAAUAAAAGAACAUGCAUAAUAAAGGCAAACAUAAGAACACAUGAGAAGAACAAGCAAGGUAGAAAAAGAAAACAUAAGAACAUAACAUAGAGAGAUACGCACAAAGAAAAGAAGAGGAAAAGUUAGAGAAACAUUUUGAAACUUUUUCAGUAACCCCAAAUCAAAGAGAGGUAAUUUCGAAAGAAAAAUUGGGGAAAAUGUCUUAAAACUCCUGUACAGCACAAAUUAAACAAAUUUAAGAAAACAACUAGAGAAAACCUCGAAUAGCUAGGGAUGAGAAAGGCUUGGAAGAACGUCCGAUCUUGAGUCAAAGAGGUCAGGAAUAGGCUUCUUAUGUUAUGGAUAUGCUGGAGCAAGGCUAGAGAGGACCCAAAAUUAUGGAUCUGAGAAGAUCUGAACGGAAAACAUUAAGGUCAGACCUCAAAGCUUCGAAUCCCAAACGCAUAAGAAUGGAGGGAGGCGAUUACAGGCCAUUUAUGGCCUGAGAAGCCAUGGAUUUCGGUGAGGUUAUGCUUGAAAAGGGUGAGAGACGCUAGGUUUUCCGGAACCUUUGAGAGAGUUUUGAGAGAGGAC
rnacentral:lncRNA from 1 species